AUAAUAAUAAAGCCAACAAUAGUAAUAAGGUAUGAUCAUAAAGGUGUUCGUUUAGGUCUGAGAAGAAAUGGACUCAUUUUGAAUAGGCCCGGUUUGGACUUUUUUUAUUCCACCACUGUUCGACAUUAAUCUUGGUCUAGUGCCCUCCAUAUCCAAUCUGUAAUGCUGGCGGCGGAGGAGGCGAAGAGACGACACUGCCAGGUGACAGCGUGGCGGCGCGAAGCAGCGACGACGGCCACCCUCUCCGCUGCCUUCUCACUACAAACAGUAGACCAAACCGUGGAUCAGUGUAGUAGUAGCAGUAGUAGUAUAUCACAAUGCAAGAGUGGUUGAUGCACGCGUGUGCUUGGAGCGAGAGGCGUCGGGAACUCCAACUUCUCCAAAACUGUUGGCCUAUCUGCGUUGUGGCAUCAGGACAUGUCAAGACGCUCUCAAGUACGCGCAGCAGUGAAUCCAUAGCCAAUGGUGCUUGCUUGAUUAGUGGAGCGCGGCCUGGAUGUAGCCGCUCGGCCUACUCCUCCUGCAGAACCUCUGAUCCAGCAACGGCAAAGCUUGUCCUAUGGAGCCUCGAUAGAGCAUGGGUGUGUCAUAUUCUUUUCCUCCCCUAUGUCAAGUUUAUUCCAUCAAAGAGUAUUUGAAACCUGGAGCUCAGUUCGACUUUUUGAAGAUCCAUGCCAAAACUUUAGAGAAAACCAUGCAUUUUACUCUCGUUAUCAAACAUUUUACAGUGGGGAGUAAUCUCGACACGCGCGAGUGGCAGCUGCCGGCCUGCUAGCCUACAGAACUUAUAAUCAGUUACGGAUGCUUUAACAUGGAUGGACAAUAAUCGUCAGUGGUGCGAGCAUCCAGAUUACCUGAUGCAUAUUUUUGACUAGUCUUCAUUGGCCACAUGCUUUGCUUCUCUAUCCUGAACUCCAUUGUACCUGAUAUUCAGAACCUGUUUCGUGCUUGUAUGAGUUGUGGUCCUUGACUGUUGUAUUGAUUUGGGUUCCAUUAGAUGAUUGCUAGCAUGCAUUAUUGACUUUAAAUGCCGAGCGUGAAAUGUGAAUGGUGGGGCAUCCCUUAUAAUCUACUCUAUUGUUGAA